rnacentral:snRNA from 1 species
GUGCUUGCUUUAGCAGCACAUAUACUAAAAUUGGAACAAUACAGAGAAGAUUAUUAUGGCCCCUGAACAAGGAUGACAUGCAAAUUCAUGAAGCAUUUCAUAUUUAA